GAGGUUUAACGUACAAAGCGCGGCCCACGAGGUUGUAAGGUACGACUUGAGGGUGAAUGGCAACAAGUAGAUGUAGUGAACUGCUUUAAAAUAUUGCUUACUUUUGUGCGUGAUAUCUGUUCAAGACCUCAACUGCUCGUUAGAAAAGCGCAGACUCAUACUACGCGCUGUUUCGCCCCAUUUUUAAAUGGGGUGAAACUUAAAGUCUCAAGGUCGUUUCCAAGAUGGCGCUCCAGCUCCCCUAUUGAUAACCGACGCAAGGUGAAAACUCCAGACAACCCUUCCUAAAAGAGAAAGGUCAAAGUGAAUAACAGUUCAGAGAAAGGCAAACCGGUCAGUGGUGCAUUUCAUGAGCCAAUGCAGGAUGUGUCCAACAAGAUUUGAGGGUAGAUUUUACUGGGUGUGCUGUCAUCGUUGUUUUCAUCGUCACAUCAUGCUAGAAAAGCUGCCCUGGAUUCUUACUCUCAAUUUUCCUUGAACAAAGGAGCUUUUGAAUGGAGAAACUUGCAAAGCUUGGUGUGGUUUUCUUUUGGGGGAGUGAAUGGCAUAAGAAAUUUGCACAGCUGUUAUUUUUGUGGUUCCUAUUUGUGUUUGUAAUGAGGUGAGGUACACUGCCAAGACCUAACCAAGCAAGAUUUUUGAGGUGAGAAUACCAGUGGUUUAAAGCAGGCAGGUUAAAGAUCAGAAGUUGAGCCACUGUCGUGGUUGUGAUUUGGGAUCAAGUGUUAUGCUCCUUUAGUUUACAAGGUCCAUCAUACUUGAUUCAUAAACUUGAUUCUGCCAUGGAAAUCAUGGGAACAGAUGGACAAUAAUUUUCUCAGAAUACAUUUAGUAAGGUUGUCUUUGAACAAGAGCUGUGUAACUGGAAUGUCUUGCAACCAAGACUGGACCUGAUUUCUUCUCUGUAUACUGAUUAAUUCACAGUGAUAAUAAAAUUUCCAAACAGUA